GCAAAGCAAAGAAAAAGUGAAAUCCUUGAUAGAAGAACAGUCGGUUCAAGAAGUGCAGAGCCAAUCGAGUGAAAGUGAAGAAUCGGCUGAUGAAGCUGAGAUAUAAUCACUUUCUUCAAGGAGAAAUUCUUGAUAGAAAAACAUUCGGUUCAAGAAGAGCCGAACCAAUCGAAAAGAAUCGCUGAUGAAGCUGAGAUAUAUGUGGCUGGGAUGAUAAAGCGCCGUUUUCUUUAAGCCGGCCAAGAUCAGCGAAACAAAAGCUUGAGUCUCGGCUG
rnacentral:lncRNA from 1 species